AUGUUGAUGUGUGCUCCGGAUCUCCCUCCUUCCCCUACUUCAACACCACCCAGGAAGCCGACAGCCCGCCGGAAAACUCUCGCUGGCGUGAAGAUCUCCAAGGUGAGUGGCCUCUCCCUGCAGAGGAUCAGGCGCCCUGUUGUCCUCGCAGCAACGACGUCGGCGGCACAGGCGGCUGAGCAGUUUAUUGGCCGCAGCCUGGGCAUCAUCAAGAACGGGCAGGACGUCACCACUGCCACCCUGGAUGCCUUCGCUGUAAAGUUCAAAGAGCAGCUUCCUCCUGAUGUAAUUGUGGCCAUGAGAGAGUUCUUUGAGCUAGACAAUGGGGCUGUUACAGCGGUGGAAGAUGCUCUGAUCGAGCAUGGUGGAGCAGGGGUCCUCAACACUGUGGGAGCAGAUGUUGCCGCGGGCUCGCUGGAUGUGAACGCCUGA
rnacentral:rRNA from 1 species